GAGACGCCUUCGCCACUGGUGGUCUUUCAAGGAUUACAAGAUUUCACCCCCUACCCCUGAAGUACCUCUCACCUCUCCCGGCCUCGAGCCAGACAGUAUCUCCUGAAAGCCUGACAGUUAAGCUGCCAGAUUUCUCAAGAGACUUAUCCGGCCGGCUACAGACCCUUUAGACCCAAUAAUAACGGUUACCACUCGAGCCGCCGGUGUUACCGCGGCGGCUGGCACCGGUCUUGCCCGGCCCUUGCUAUGAAAUGCUUUUUAGGCAUCUCGACAGCCAGAUUUGUAACCUGGCACUCGAGGUUCCCUUAUCGCUGUUGCCAGCAUUGUAAAGUUUUCGCGCCUGCUGCACCCCGUAGGGCCUGGAUUCGUGUCUCAGAAUCCAUCUCCGGGCUCUUGCUCUCACAACCCGUACCCGUCGUAGGCUAGUAGGUACACUACACCCACUACUACCUGAUGGGCCGCAGACCCAUCCUUAGGCGCCGGAGCUUUUAAUCUCGAUGCAUUCCAGCAGCCGAGACCUAUCGGGGAUUAUACCCAGUUUCCCGGGUUUAUACCCGACCUAAGGGCAGGUUGUCCACGUGUUACUGAGCAGUACGCCAUGUAUUGCUACAUUCGACUCGCAUGGCUUAGUCGAACCUCGAUAGCAGUAACCUCUGGCAGGAUCAACCGGA
rnacentral:rRNA from 1 species